rnacentral:rRNA from 1 species
UGGGGAAUAUUGCACAAUGGACGGAAGUCUGAUGCAGCAACGCCGCGUGCGGGAUGACGGCCUUCGGGUUGUAAACCGCUUUUUCUCAUGACGAAGUUUUUUGACGGUAGUGGGGGAAGAAGCACCGGCUAACUACUUGCCAGCAGCCGCGGUGAUACGUAGGGUGCGAGCGUUGUCCGUAAUUUUUGGGCGUAAAGAGCUUGUAGGCGGUUUGUCGCGUCGAUAGUGCAAACUCAGUGCUUAACGCUGAGCCUGCUGUUGAUACGGGCAGACUAGAGGAAGGUAGGGGAGAAUGGAAUUCCCGGUGGAGCGGUGGAAUGCGCAGAUAUCGGGAGGAACACCGGUGGCGAAGGCGGUUCUCUGGGCCUUUCCUGACGCUGAGAAGCGAAAGCGUGGGGAGCGAACAGG